GUUUGACCUCGGAUCAGGUAGGGAUACCCGCUGAACUU
rnacentral:rRNA from 1 species